rnacentral:tRNA from 1 species
UUCUGUUUGGCAUAGUGCUUUGAGUGUUGGACUACAACUCUGGAGACCAGGGUUCGAAUCCUGGCUCAGCAA